GGUUAAGCGACUAAGCGUACACGGUGGAUGCCCUGGCAGUCAGAGGCGAUGAAGGACGUGCUAAUCUGCGAUAAGCGUCGGUAAGGUGAUAUGAACCGUUAUAACCGGCGAUUUCCGAAUGGGGAAACCCAGUGUGAUUCGUCACACUAUCAUUAACUGAAUCCAUAGGUUAAUGAGGCGAACCGGGGGAACUGAAACAUCUAAGUACCCCGAGGAAAAGAAAUCAACCGAGAUUCCCCCAGUAGCGGCGAGCGAACGGGGAGCAGCCCAGAGCCUGAAUCAGUGUGUGUGUUAGUGGAAGCGUCUGGAAAGGCGCGCGAUACAGGGUGACAGCCCCGUACACAAAAAUGCACAUGCUGUGAGCUCGAUGAGUAGGGCGGGACACGUGGUAUCCUGUCUGAAUAUGGGGGGACCAUCCUCCAAGGCUAAAUACUCCUGACUGACCGAUAGUGAACCAGUACCGUGAGGGAAAGGCGAAAAGAACCCCGGCGAGGGGAGUGAAAAAGAACCUGAAACCGUGUACGUACAAGCAGUGGGAGCCUCUUUAUGGGGUGACUGCGUACCUUUUGUAUAAUGGGUCAGCGACUUAUAUUCUGUAGCAAGGUUAACCGAAUAGGGGAGCCGAAGGGAAACCGAGUCUUAACUGGGCGUUAAGUUGCAGGGUAUAGACCCGAAACCCGGUGAUCUAGCCAUGGGCAGGUUGAAGGUUGGGUAACACUAACUGGAGGACCGAACCGACUAAUGUUGAAAAAUUAGCGGAUGACUUGUGGCUGGGGGUGAAAGGCCAAUCAAACCGGGAGAUAGCUGGUUCUCCCCGAAAGCUAUUUAGGUAGCGCCUCGUGAAUUCAUCUCCGGGGGUAGAGCACUGUUUCGGCAAGGGGGUCAUCCCGACUUACCAACCCGAUGCAAACUGCGAAUACCGGAGAAUGUUAUCACGGGAGACACACGGCGGGUGCUAACGUCCGUCGUGAAGAGGGAAACAACCCAGACCGCCAGCUAAGGUCCCAAAGUCAUGGUUAAGUGGGAAACGAUGUGGGAAGGCCCAGACAGCCAGGAUGUUGGCUUAGAAGCAGCCAUCAUUUAAAGAAAGCGUAAUAGCUCACUGGUCGAGUCGGCCUGCGCGGAAGAUGUAACGGGGCUAAACCAUGCACCGAAGCUGCGGCAGCGACGCUUAUGCGUUGUUGGGUAGGGGAGCGUUCUGUAAGCCUGCGAAGGUGUACUGUGAGGUAUGCUGGAGGUAUCAGAAGUGCGAAUGCUGACAUAAGUAACGAUAAAGCGGGUGAAAAGCCCGCUCGCCGGAAGACCAAGGGUUCCUGUCCAACGUUAAUCGGGGCAGGGUGAGUCGACCCCUAAGGCGAGGCCGAAAGGCGUAGUCGAUGGGAAACAGGUUAAUAUUCCUGUACUUGGUGUUACUGCGAAGGGGGGACGGAGAAGGCUAUGUUGGCCGGGCGACGGUUGUCCCGGUUUAAGCGUGUAGGCUGGUUUUCCAGGCAAAUCCGGAAAAUCAAGGCUGAGGCGUGAUGACGAGGCACUACGGUGCUGAAGCAACAAAUGCCCUGCUUCCAGGAAAAGCCUCUAAGCAUCAGGUAACAUCAAAUCGUACCCCAAACCGACACAGGUGGUCAGGUAGAGAAUACCAAGGCGCUUGAGAGAACUCGGGUGAAGGAACUAGGCAAAAUGGUGCCGUAACUUCGGGAGAAGGCACGCUGAUACGUAGGUGAAGUCCCUUGCGGAUGGAGCUGAAAUCAGUCGAAGAUACCAGCUGGCUGCAACUGUUUAUUAAAAACACAGCACUGUGCAAACACGAAAGUGGACGUAUACGGUGUGACGCCUGCCCGGUGCCGGAAGGUUAAUUGAUGGGGUUAGCGGUAACGCGAAGCUCUUGAUCGAAGCCCCGGUAAACGGCGGCCGUAACUAUAACGGUCCUAAGGUAGCGAAAUUCCUUGUCGGGUAAGUUCCGACCUGCACGAAUGGCGUAAUGAUGGCCAGGCUGUCUCCACCCGAGACUCAGUGAAAUUGAACUCGCUGUGAAGAUGCAGUGUACCCGCGGCAAGACGGAAAGACCCCGUGAACCUUUACUAUAGCUUGACACUGAACAUUGAGCCUUGAUGUGUAGGAUAGGUGGGAGGCUUUGAAGUGUGGACGCCAGUCUGCAUGGAGCCGACCUUGAAAUACCACCCUUUAAUGUUUGAUGUUCUAACGUUGGCCCCUAAUCGGGGUUGCGGACAGUGUCUGGUGGGUAGUUUGACUGGGGCGGUCUCCUCCUAAAGAGUAACGGAGGAGCACGAAGGUUGGCUAAUCCUGGUCGGACAUCAGGAGGUUAGUGCAAUGGCAUAAGCCAGCUUGACUGCGAGCGUGACGGCGCGAGCAGGUGCGAAAGCAGGUCAUAGUGAUCCGGUGGUUCUGAAUGGAAGGGCCAUCGCUCAACGGAUAAAAGGUACUCCGGGGAUAACAGGCUGAUACCGCCCAAGAGUUCAUAUCGACGGCGGUGUUUGGCACCUCGAUGUCGGCUCAUCACAUCCUGGGGCUGAAGUAGGUCCCAAGGGUAUGGCUGUUCGCCAUUUAAAGUGGUACGCGAGCUGGGUUUAGAACGUCGUGAGACAGUUCGGUCCCUAUCUGCCGUGGGCGCUGGAGAACUGAGGGGGGCUGCUCCUAGUACGAGAGGACCGGAGUGGACGCAUCACUGGUGUUCGGGUUGUCAUGCCAAUGGCACUGCCCGGUAGCUAAAUGCGGAAGAGAUAAGUGCUGAAAGCAUCUAAGCACGAAACUUGCCCCGAGAUGAGUUCUCCCUGACUCCCUGAGAGUCCUGAAGGAACGUUGAAGACGACGACGUUGAUAGGCCGGGUGUGUAAGCGCAGCGAUGCGUUGAGCUAACCGGUACUAAUGAACCGUGAGGCUUAACCUU
rnacentral:rRNA from 1 species